UGAUAAUGUCUUCAGAAUCUGCCAGGGCUUCCACAGAACUAACUUCUGUCUCUGAUGAUGAAAAAAAACACACACAAAAAAUACAAAUACACAAUCAGAAGUCAAUUCCUCAUAACCACGGCUUAAAUCUCUCUACAAAAUCACACACACUCCAUAAUAACAGGGCUAUAGCUAGCAGGUCGAAGCGUGCGCUUGGGAUAUAUAGGUAGGCAGUGUCGCGGUGUCAAUACCAUUUAAUCAAUACUCGAUCAAUAAGCUUCCAUGCUGCCUGAAUUGACCUUUAAAUAUGUUUUACAAUGUAAAUGCCCCAACAGUUCUACCCAAAGUUCUGCACCACUUGGAGAUUUAAAAAUCUCUCUAGUCCCCGGUAAUGGAGGAUAUAUAUUAAGGAGAGUUGAAACCAGUCAAUGUACAUGGAAAGAAGAUGCCAACGGAGGUUAACUUUCAAGGCAAAUAUUGAUUUUUGUCACGUUGAGGAUCAGCUAAACUCUUGAAGAUCGACUGCAAGGGAAUGUGGACAGAUUAGGAGGGGGAUAAUCCCCCUUAAUCUCCCUGACAGCAGUCAUAAUCUGGACGUUCAUUUAGAAGGACAUGUAGGGAACUUCUUCUGACCCCCAGAGAUUUCCGAACAUGGACAGGAAGAGCCCCCCAUCACAAGGUCAUCUACUCUAACCCUGCCUCUUUAGGAUGACAUCUAAGAUGCUUUGUUAUAAAGUUCCAUACGUGUCCAACAUCUCCCAGGCUGAAUGGUCAUCUAUUCCUGUGGACAAGAAGAAAUUUAAACAAACCAUAAAAAGCAUCUCCCCCGCACCAAAUUCAUGGACCAUCUCCAGACUCUGAGCCAUCUGAGUGGGUGCUUCCAAUGCAUUCUGUGCCAUGUGAUUGGUCACUUUUUCAUCAUUCGGUGCAGCAGUCUUAUUGGUUGUCUCAAUUACUUCAUCUAAACUAGUCAUUGAGGGGUGGGGAGGACCUUAAUUUAUUCCUCGACUGGAAAGGAUUGAUGGCGUUGUCUGUGGUCGGUGGAGAGGAUCCCAGUUUGGUGUUGGACUGGAAUGGGUUCAUGUCCUCCAAAUUGUCAAAAUCAAUGUUGUAGGCUCCUCGGGAACCAGGGAGAGGAAGUUCAUCCUCCAUGAUUAUUUGAUCAAUAUGAGUUAGGCCUAAGGAAAUGAAGUUUUAUUGACAACUUUCUAACCUCCUACUAUGAAGAGCAGCAAAGAAAGAUAACUCUGAAAAAGAUUUGGCAUUGUCUGACUGAUAUCAUUGCAUGUCCUCAGAAAAAUACUGUAC